CUUCUUGCACUUAGACUUUCUUGUUGUGAGUGUGGGAGGGUAAACUAGAAGUUCUUUACUUGCAAGUAGUACUUGAAUUUCGGCACUUUAAAUUCCUUGCUUGCAAAAGAGAGUGAGAACAUUUUUGUUGUAAAGAGGAUGGUUUGUUUUUCUAUUUUGCUCAUCAUAGGGAUAGUGCCAACGGGGAGGCUACUGGUAGUACCCGACGCUAUUUAACCCAACUAUUCGGUAUUAGGGUAUAGAGGGACGGCACAAGAGGGAGGCUAUUGAUAGUACCUCGUGCCCUCCUAACUACACCGGGUAGGAAGCAAGUAGAGCAACAACACGUUUCUCUCGGGUUGUGAGGCUUAUUUGUUGUAAACCAUUGUUGUAAUUGGAGUUGAUUGAGUGGUGUACCUUUCAAAACAUAUAUAAGAAGAAGGGUCGGUUCAUCCCUUGGGUGACGGCCAAAGAAGGUUUGGAGGUGCAAUUGUUAGAAGCAAAACAAUGGAGUCGGGAGCUAAUUCAAAUUCUCACCAUGCUCGGCUAGAGGCAUUGGAGGGGAGUUCGGCCCACCUAAACCGAACCCUUGAAAGCCAAAAUCGAACCCUAGAAAAUCUAUCCAAUACCCUAGCCGGGAUGAAUGCUCACUUGGAGAGGUUAGAGAGGAGGAUUGG
rnacentral:lncRNA from 1 species